UACUCCCUUUUUAUCAUGUAAUUAUCAGUUAUCAUAGUCAAUUCAAUAUUCUUUCGAUAUCCAGUAUUUGGGUCAAUAUUCGGACAUUCUAUCGUUCCGACAACGGUCUAUUCCAUGACCAAGGACCACCUAGAACUUGAUUUGCCUUGGACCAGCUGUUUCAAACACUAUCCCUUCCUCCCAAAACUGCUCUCGGCCCAACAUUUGCAGCACGUCAAUGAUCAUGAACCGGGACCAUCCAGCGGAAGUGUCAUCUGAGUUUGGCGAGAAGCUGGCUCAUAUUUCUAUCGCCCGUCCUACCACUGCAGCUUGCGAGUAAACACCAUUCUGACCGGAACAAUUAAAGUUUCAAGUUUCACCACUGGAGUUUUCAACAUAUGCUCUUCUGUCACGUUUGGAGAUGGUUCGGUGAGGUUUCUUGGUGCCCUGAUUUCCCCCCAUUCUGCGUUGGAGCCGAGUUCGCUCAGAAACGACUCUCGAUGAGGUUGUUGUGACGAACCUUUCCCACUACACCUGGUUCCUUGCCCACAACGUUUGUUAAAGGCACCUUGCUAUCCAAAUAACUCAACGACCUUUCUAUGUCGAUUGACUUGAAAAGCGCCUACCGGGGUAUAGCUGAAGCGGUGCCGGAACGCUCGAAGGCAACCUUCCCGACCAUUUGUGCAAUGCAACGCAAAAUGGAGAAAUAGUGAUAAGCGACCUCGGUAUGGAUGAGCUCAUGGGCAUUGGAAAUCUUCCUGCUACUCCAUUAAUAUAUAUAUAUGAAAAUAGGCGUCUUUCAACAACAGUCAACUACUUUUGGGUUCUAUAAACUAGUUCUCUAGCAGCUUCUUCAUUUGCAAACCAGCACAAUGACGCUGUGGAAAACAAACAGGGUGCUUAGAAAAAAAUACUAAAUGAUGUCCUUCUAAAGAAAAUAAAAGAGAGAGUUGGAUAAAUACAGAUAGAGAUAAAAGCAG
rnacentral:sRNA from 2 species